ACCCUCCUCCUGCUGCUCUCGGGGGCCCUGGCCCCGACCGAGACCUGGGCCGGUGAGUGCGGGGUCGGGAGGGAAAGGGCCUCUGCGGAGAGGAGCGAGCGGACCGCAGGCGGGGGCGCAGGACCCGGGGAGCCGCGCCGGGAGGAGGGUCGGGCGGGUCUCAGCCCCUCCUCGCCCCCAGGCUCCCACUCCAUGAGGUAUUUCAGCACCGCCGUGUCCCGGCCCGGCCGCGGGGAGCCCCGCUUCAUCGCAGUGGGCUACGUGGACGACACCCAGUUCGUGCGGUUCGACAGCGACGCCGUGAGUCCGAGGGUGGAGCCGCUGGUGCCAUUGAUAGAGCAGGAGGGGCCGGAGUAUUGGGACCAGGAGACACAGAAAGCCAAGACCCAGGCACAGAAUGACCGAGUGAGCCUGCGGAACCUGCGCGGCUACUACAACCAGAGCGAGGACGGUGAGUGACCCCGGCCCGGGGCGCAGGUCACGACCCCUCAUCCCCCACGGACGGCCCGGGUCGCCCCGAGUCUCCGGGUCCGAGAUCCGCCCCGAGGCCGCGGGACCCGCCCAGACCUUCGACCGGAGAGAGCCCCAGGCGCCUUUACCCGGUUUCAUUUUCAGUUGAGGCCAAAAUCCCCGCGGGUUGGUCGGGGCGGGGCGGGGCUCGGGGGACUGGGCUGACCGCGGGGACGGGGCCAGGGUCUCACACCUGGCAGAGGAUGUAUGGCUGCGACGUGGGGCCCGACGGGCGCCUUCUCCGUGGGUAUUGCCAGUUCGCCUACGACGGCAAGGAUUACAUCGCCCUGAACGAGGACCUGAGCUCUUGGACCGCCGCGGACACCGCGGCUCAGAUCACCCAGCGCAAGUGGGAGGCGGCCCGUGAGGCGGAGCAGUUGAGAGCCUACCUGGAGGGCCUGUGCGUGGAGUCGCUCCGCAGAUACCUGGAGAACGGGAAGGAGACAUUGCAGCGCGCGGACUGCCCAAAGACACACGUGACCCACCACCCCGUCUCUGAACAUGAGACUAUCCUGAGAUGCUGGGCCCUGGGCUUCUACCCUGCGGAGAUCACACUGACCUGGCAGCGGGAUGGGGAGGACCAAACUCAGGACACCGAGCUUGUGGAGACCAGGCCAGCAGGAGAUGGAACCUUCCAGAAGUGGGCAGCGGUGGUGGUGCCUUCUGGAGAAGAGCAGAGAUACACAUGCCAUGUGCAGCACGAGGGGCUGCCGGAGCCCCUCACCCUGAGAUGGGAGCCAUCUUCCCAAUCUACCAUCCCCAUCGUGGGCAUUGUUGCUGGCCUGGCUGUCCUAGCAGUUGUGGUCAUUGGAAUUGUGGUCCCCGCUGUGAUGUGUAGGAGGAAGAGCUCAGGUGAGAAAGGAGGGAGCUACUCUCAGGCUGCAUGCAGCGACACUACCCAGGGCUCUGAUGUGUCUCUCACGGCUUGAAAAGCCUGAGACAGCUGCCUGUGUGGGACUGAGAUGCAGGAUUUCUUCACGCCUCCCUUUUGUGACUUCAAGAGACUCUGGCAUCUCUUUCUGCGAAGGCAUCUGAAUGUGUCUGCAUCCCUGUUAGCAUAAUGUGAGGAGGUGAAGAGACAGCCCACUCCCGUGUCCACCGUGACCCCUGUUCCCAUGCUGACCUGUGUUUCCUCCCCAGUCAUCCUUCCUGUUCCAGAGAGAUGGGGCUGGAUGUCUCCAUCUCUGUCUCAACUUCAUGUGCACUGAGCUGCAACUUCUUACUUCCCUACUGAAAAUAUGAAUCUGAAUAUAAAUUUGUUUUCUCAAAUAUUUGCUAUGAGAGGUUGACGGGUUAAUUAAAUAAGUCAAUUCCUAGAAUUUCAGAGAGCAAUUAAAGACCUGAGAACCUUCCAGAA
rnacentral:sRNA from 1 species